AUUGAACGCUGGCGGCAUGCUUUACACAUGCAAGUCGAACGGCAGCGCGGGCUUCGGCCUGGCGGCGAGUGGCGAACGGGUGAGUAAUGCAUCGGAACGUGCCCAGUAGUGGGGGAUAGCCCGGCGAAAGCCAGAUUAAUACCGCAUACGACCUGAGGGUGAAAGCGGGGGACCGAAAGGCCUCGCGCUAUUGGAGCGGCCGAUGUCGGAUUAGCUAGUUGGUGGGGUAAAGGCUUACCAAGGCGACGAUCCGUAGCUGGUCUGAGAGGACGACCAGCCACACUGGGACUGAGACACGGCCCAGACUCCUACGGGAGGCAGCAGUGGGGAAUUUUGGACAAUGGGGGCAACCCUGAUCCAGCCAUGCCGCGUGCGGGAAGAAGGCCUUCGGGUUGUAAACCGCUUUUGUUCGGGAAGAAAUCCUCUGGGCUAAUACCCCGGGGGGAUGACGGUACCGGAAGAAUAAGCAUCGGCUAACUACGUG
rnacentral:rRNA from 1 species